AAACCCUCAAAUUAUACUCCAAUACUCAAAUCAUACUCCAAUAAGUCAAAUGGGGCUAAAAAAUUUCUUUUCUAAAAAUUCCCAUUGUGUCCUUGGGUGGCAAAUGACCAUUUUGCCCCUGGACAGUAAAAAUUCUAGUUUGACUUCAAAUUGAUCCUCGAACUCCAAAUCACCAUAUUAAACCAUUCUGGGACUUUAAUAUUCUUAAUUUCAUUUUAAAUUCUCUAUUUGAUCUAGUUCGAGACUUAAAUUAACUUAAUUGUACCAUUUGGUACAUUGUCGUCUUUUAACGAUUUUUCUUUCAGGGCUUUCCAAGUAUGCAAGCAUAUUGUCAAUCAUAUGAAUGACAUGGAAAGUAUUUUAUAAGAUCGGGCUUGACA
rnacentral:lncRNA from 1 species